rnacentral:rRNA from 1 species
UACGUAUGUCCCCAAGCGUUAUCCGGAAUUACUGGGUGUAAAGGGUUUGUAGGUUGUUUGUUAAGUAGGGUAUGAAAGACCGGAGCUCAACUCCGUGUUUGUAUUCUAAACUGGCUGACUAGAGUUAGGGAGAGGUAAGCGGAAUUUUAAGUGUAGGGGUGCAAUCCGUAGAUACUUAGAAGAACACCAAAAGCGAAGGCAGCUUACUGGAACUAUACUGACGCUGAAAAACGAAAUCGUGGGGAGCGAAAAGGAUUAGAU